rnacentral:precursor_RNA from 12 species
CGUUUGCGACGCCGGUUAUAUAGGGUGUCCCAAAAGUCUUAGUGCGGUUUUAAGAUAUUCAAGCCUAAAACUGGACCAAGGCUUUUGGGCCAACCUGUAUGCUGACAUUGUAGUAACUG